rnacentral:rRNA from 2 species
GACAGAGGGUGCAAACGUUGUUCGGAAUUACUGGGCGUAAAGCGCGUGUAGGCGGCCCUGUAAGUCGGGUGUGAAAUCCCACGGCUCAACCGUGGAAGUGCACUCGAAACUACAGGGCUAGAGUCCUGGAGAGGAAGGUGGAAUGCUUGGUGUAGAGGUGAAAUUCGUAGAUAUCAAGCGGAACACCGGUGGCGAAGGCGGCCUUCUGGACAGUGACUGACGCUGAGACGCGAAAGCGUGGGGAGCAAACAGG